CCCCCCCCCCCUACGCUUGAUACAUAAACAACAUGGCGGCGAGCGGCGCAGAUCUAAAGGUGUAGUGAGAGACAGACAGGAAAUGGGGAGAAGAGUCGGGGGAAGACUUGCAGCAAAAGGCCACCAGCGGGACUCGAACCCGGGACGCUGCGUCAGGGACCAGCCUCUGUACAGGAGUCACCUGCUUAACCCGUUGAGCUAUAUGAACUAAAGAACUACAGACUCUUCACAACCUGCUCAAACUCUUGGUACAGGACCUCACCACACGGGUCAAGAAGGUUUCCUUCUCCUCAUUUCUACUCUGAAGCUCACCUUCUCCUGCUCAAACUGCUGACAAAUGUUUCUGCUGCUCUAAAGUCUGGUCUCCAGAACUUCCUAAAAACUCUCAAAGUCUCUUCUGCUGCAGGUUGCUUUGUAGAACUGUUCCAGAAAACCUCACUAAACCACAUGGAGGGGCCUCAAGAUAGUCGUCCAAAUGAAACUGUACAAAAACCAAACUAGCAAAACCCAAACACUAAAGUCUCCUGCAGCCUACCAGAGAACCUCUGAGAACAGAGAAUCAGGACAGGAACUCUUACCUUCUGGACAACCAACGUUGG
ensembl:lncRNA